CCUCCGGUUAGUUGACCGCAGGCUUUUAUCGUCUCGCAUUGUCAGAAGAUGGUGUGUGUUAUAUUUAAAUACCAGUCUGCCAGGUUCAAAUUUACUGCUAUAGCGAAUUCCUAAUGGGAAUAUUUUAACCCUUCAGAGAUGAUUCCUCAUUCCUCCUACUUGCACACAUCUACUUGCAUUUCAACAUUGAGGCAAAGUGUUCUACCAUCUAUGAAACUUCCCUUGCCUCAUACUUGGCCUCUUAUU